UCAGGAUGGAGAAUUGUGAAGAAAUUAAAAGCCAUAGGAAUGUCUCUAGGAUAGGUGGGCAAGCUCCUCAGAGCAGUGCUAACUAUCCUCUAAAGAGCGCUGAUGUUGUGACUUUGGAAGGCAAGUUCUUAGCAGGUGAAGUAAACAAAACAACUCACAUAGGUGAAGUGCCCUGUGCAAGGUCGCCUGCUCCAAGUAAGAGGAUUCAGAAUGCAGACCCCACACUCUUGACUCCAGCCAGUCUCUUGCCUCAUUCCUGUGGAAAUGAAAAUACAGAUUGUUGUUCUUGUCUGAGGUUCAGGGAGAGGUGUUGAAGUACAGACUUCAUAGCAGCGGACUGGCUGAAACUGGGAUAAUCAUAUAUUAAUAAGUGUCUUUGGAGAAAAGCUUUCAGGA
ensembl:lncRNA